UUAGUUCCGUUUUUUAGUUAAUAGAAAAUCCAGAAAAUUGUCCCAAAAACACUGUGUUUUCCAAUGGAGUUUACAAAAUUCGAAUUUAUUGUAUAAGAUUCUGACAUUUGGUAUCAGAUCCUCAAUUCUCCAAACCGUGUGGGAGCUAUGGUGGAAGGAACUAGACAACAAAUAUUAGAUACUAAGUUAGCCCAGCACAAUGAAGCAAUGGGUGAACUUGCGACCAAUUGCCGAGCACUCAACGAAACUUAGAUAGGAAUCAGAGGUGCCCUCAAGCUGAUUCUAGAUCAACUGACGACAUUAGAAAAAGGGAACAAUCGAGGUCCAGACCCAGCUCAACCAAUAGGAGAUGGGUUGCUUCAUUUACCACUAGCAGAUGCUAAAUUCAACAGGCCACAAGGAUUU
rnacentral:lncRNA from 1 species